rnacentral:tRNA from 1 species
GUGAUAUGCCUGAUUAAAGGACUAUCUUGAUAGGAUAAUUAAUACAUAAUAUAAUGUUUUCACUAA